rnacentral:misc_RNA from 1 species
GAUGAAGAACGUAGCGAAAUGCGAUAACUAAUGUGAAUUGCAGAAUUCCGUGAAUCAUCGAGUCUUUGAACGCACAUUGCGCCCCCUGGUAUUCCGGGGGGCAUGCCUGUCCGAGCGUCAUUGCUGCCCAUCAAGCACGGCUUGUGUGUUGGGUCCUCGUCCCCCCCGGGGGACGUGCCCGAAAGGCAGCGGCGGCACCGCGUCCGGUCCUCGAGCGUAUGGGGCUUUGUCACCCGCUCUGCAGGCCCGGCCGGCGCUGGACGACGCGAAAGCAACCAUUUUUUCUCCAGGUUGACCUCGGAUCAGGUAGGGAUACCCGCUGAAAUUAAGCAUAUCAAUAAGCGGAGGA